AAGUCGUAACAAGGUUUCCGUAGGUGAACCUGCGGAAGGAUCAUUACCGAGAGUGUCCCUUCGGGGGCGACCUCCCACCCGUGAUUAACAUACCUCUGUUGCUUUGGCGAGCGGUAGGCCCCGGCCCGCCGUAUGCUCGCCAGAGGACCCCAACACUCUUUGUUUUUGGAUGCAGUCUGAGUAACAUUAUAAUUCUUAAAACUUUCAACAACGGAUCUCUUGGUUCCG
rnacentral:misc_RNA from 1 species